UACGUAGGGGGCAAGCGUUGUCCGGAAUCAUUGGGCGUAAAGAGCGUGUAGGCGGCUCGAUAAGUCCGCUGUGAAAGUCCAGGGCUCAACCCUGGAAGGCCGGUGGAAACUGUCGGGCUAGAGUCCGGAAGAGGCGAGUGGAAUUCCCGGUGUAGCGGUGAAAUGCGCAGAUAUCGGGAGGAACACCAAUGGCGAAGGCAGCUCGCUGGGACGGUACUGACGCUGAGGAGCGAAAGCGUGGGGAGCGAACAGG
rnacentral:rRNA from 1 species